rnacentral:misc_RNA from 1 species
GUUUCAAUAUGUGAAUUAUAGCCAUGAUAUCCCUGGUGGGCUGCGCGUUUCGUUGUCCCUUGAUUUAACCUAUUUCCUUGUCUCGUCCUGGAAAGCGCUGGCCUUUUACUUACUGGCAACGGCGCUCCUGCUUAAUAUGGUACGGAUGCACUUUCGGCUUUAUCGCAACGUCACACGCGAAAAUAUUAGCGAUGCCAUGACCGGGCUUUACAACCGUAAAAUAUUAACACCGGUGCUGGAACAGCGACUGCAACGCCUGGUCAAUACCGGGACGCCGGUGACAUUUGUCGCUAUUGAUUGCGAUAGGUUAAAACUGAUCAACGAUACCC